GUCCUGACGAGUCCCAAAUAGGACGAAAUUCAUGUCCUGGAU
rnacentral:hammerhead_ribozyme from 1 species